rnacentral:rRNA from 1 species
UACAGAGGGUGCAAGCGUUGUUCGGAAUUAUUGGGCGUAAAGGGCGCGUAGGCGGUGCGGUAAGUCUGUAGUGAAAUCUCUGGGCUCAACUCAGAGUCUGCUGCAGAAACUGCCGUGCUUGAGUGUGGGAGAGGUGAGUGGAAUUCCCGGUGUAGCGGUGAAAUGCGUAGAUAUCAGGAGGAACACCGAUGGCGAAGGCAGCUCGCUGGGACGGUACUGACGCUGAGACGCGAAAGCGUGGGGAGCAAACAGG